rnacentral:rRNA from 1 species
AUGGCAUGGGCCGCCCGGCGGCGUGCGGGGCGGGGUGGUGCGGCUGGCUGCUUCGGGGGCUGGCCCGGUUCCGCCUGGCUCGCAGGCGCUCCGGCGGGUGGGUGGCGGCGGCACGGGGCUCGCGGCGGCGCCGUGUGGGCGGCGUGGUACUCAGUCGGCGGCGUGGUGGGCCUCGUGGUGGUGGCCCCAUGGCGGCGGGGCCUGCGGGGAGUUGGGCAUCUCCGUCUCCGACCUGGAUCGGCCAUGUUCGGGGACUUCGGCGGCGUCCCUCCCCUUUGGCGGCUCGACGCGCGGGUGCGUGCCCGGCGGCUCCGACGCUUGGAGCUCGGCGGGCGGCGCGGGUUGGGCAGAGGCCGGGGUGGCCGCUGCUCCGGCCGUGGAUGGCUCCAUGGUGGCUUGGCAAGUCGGCUUCGGCGACGGCUGGCUCGUCCUGGCGUUGGUUCGUCCGUAGGUGACUUGUAUCGGCCUUUGGCCCCCCCUCCUCGUCGUCCGGUCGCUAUGUUCGGUGAAGGGCUGGCCCUCUCCCAGCUGCGGUCCAUCGGUCGUCUCGCGUCCGAUGCGCACGUCCGAGCUUGUCUCGCGCACAGUGCCGUAGGACUAAUCUCGUCUCGCGCACGGUGCAGCAGGACUGAGUCCGUCUCGCGCACGGUGUUGCGGGAGCGAGCUCGCCUCGCGCCCGGUGCUGCAGGACGGGUCGAUGGAGGCCUGGUGGCCGGCCUAUUGGGUCUCGGCGCUGGGGUCGCCCAGGGGUGCAAAAGGUGCGACCUUUCUGCUCGUCUCUUUGGUUGGGAUAGCGGCAGGUCUCGGGUGAGGGGGUGUCAAGGUCUUGAAUGCCGGGGCGGCGGCCCUGGAGGUGGUUGCGCGGCUCUCUCGGGCGGAGGCCGUGGCUUGGUGCUGCCCGGUGGCCAUGGCCGUGUGGGCGGCAUGGUCGCCGGGGGCUGGCGUCGGUGGCGGUGA